GAUGAACGCUGGCGGCGUGCCUAAUACAUGCGAGUCGAGCGGACGGACGAUACGCUUGCUUGUCUGAUGUUAGCGGCGGACGGGUGAGUAACACGUGUAUAACCUACCUAUAUUACUGGGAUAACUUCGGGAAACCGGAUCUAAUACCGUAUAAUAUUUUGAACCGCAGGGUUCAAAAGUGAAAGACGGUCUUGCUGUCAGUUAUCGAUGGAUCCGCGCUGCAUUAGCUAGUUGUUAAGGUCACGGCUUACCACGGCAACGAUGCAUAGCCGAACUGAGAGAGUGAUCGCCCACCCGGGAACUGAGACACGGUCCAGACUCCUACGGGAGGCAGCAGUCUGCAAUCUUCCGCAAUGGGGGAAAGCCUGACGGAGCAACGCCGAGUGAGUGAUGAAGGUCUUCGGAGCGUAAAAAUCUGUUACUAGGGAUGAACAUAUGUGUAAGUAACUGUGCACAUCUUGACGGUAACUAAUCAGAAAGCAACGGCUAACUACGUG
rnacentral:rRNA from 1 species